rnacentral:rRNA from 1 species
UACAGAGGGGGCUAGCGUUAUUCGGAAUUACUGGGCGUAAAGCGCACGUAGGCGGCUUUGUAAGUCAGAGGUGAAAGCCUGGAGCUCAACUCCAGAACUGCCUUUGAGACUGCAUCGCUUGAAUCCAGGAGAGGUGAGUGGAAUUCCGAGUGUAGAGGUGAAAUUCGUAGAUAUUCGGAAGAACACCAGUGGCGAAGGCGGCUCACUGGACUGGUAUUGACGCUGAGGUGCGAAAGCGUGGGGAGCAAACAGG